GAUCCUGGCUCAGGAUGAACGCUAGCUACAGGCUUAACACAUGCAAGUCGAGGGUCAGCGUGGUCUUAGCUUGCUAAGGCCGAUGGCGACCGGCGCACGGGUGAGUAACGCGUAUCCAACCUGCCUUACACUCUUGGACAGCCUUCUGAAAGGGAGAUUAAUACAAGAUGUUAUCAUGAGUAAGCAUUUUCGCAUGAUUAAAGGUUUACCGGUGUAAGAUGGGGAUGCGUUCCA
rnacentral:rRNA from 1 species